AUACUAUGAUAGUUGCAUAGUUCAUCAGAAAGUCCUGAAGAGAUGCACUUUGUCUGAUGUAUCU
rnacentral:snoRNA from 12 species